rnacentral:rRNA from 1 species
CGGGUGAGUAAUGCUUGGGAAUCUGGCUUAUGGAGGGGGAUAACGACGGGAAACUGUCGCUAAUACCGCGUAGAGUCGAGAGACGAAAGUGCGGGACCGCAAGGCCGCAUGCCAUAGGAUGAGCCCAAGUGGGAUUAGGUAGUUGGUGGGGUAAAGGCCUACCAAGCCGACGAUCUCUAGCUGGUCUGAGAGGAUGACCAGCCACACCGGGACUGAGACACGGCCCGGACUCCUACGGGAGGCAGCAGUGGGGAAUAUUGCGCAAUGGGGGCAACCCUGACGCAGCCAUGCCGCGUGAAUGAAGAAGGCCUUCGGGUUGUAAAGUUCUUUCGGUGACGAGGAAGGUUGUUGUGUUAAUAGCACAACAAAUUGACGUUAAUCACAGAAGAAGCACCGGCUAACUCCGUGCCAGCAGCCGCGGUAAUACGGAGGGUGCGAGCGUUAAUCGGAAUAACUGGGCGUAAAGGGCACGCAGGCGGCUAUUUAAGUGAGGUGUGAAAUCCCCGGGCUUAACCUGGGAAUUGCAUUUC